rnacentral:rRNA from 1 species
GAUGAACGCUGGCGGCGUGCCUAAUACAUGCAAGUCGAGCGAAUGGAUUAAGAGCUUGCUCUUAUGAAGUUAGCGGCGGACGGGUGAGUAACACGUGGGUAACCUGCCCAUAAGACUGGGAUAACUCCGGGAAACCGGGGCUAAUACCGGAUAACAUUUUGAACCGCAUGGUUCGAAAUUGAAAGGCGGCUUCGGCUGUCACUUAUGGAUGGACCCGCGUCGCAUUAGCGAGUUGGGGAGGUAACGGCUCACCAAGGCAACGAUGCGUAGCCGACCGGAGAGGGUGAUCGGCCACACUGGGACUGAGACACGGCCCAGACUCCUACGGGAGGCAGCAGUAGGGAAUCUUCCGCAAUGGACGAAAGUCUGACGGAGCAACGCCGCGUGAGUGAUGAAGGCUUUCGGGUCGUAAAACUCUGUUGUUAGGGAAGAACAAGUGCUAGUUGAAUAAGCUGACACCUUGACGGUACCUAACCAGAAAGCCACGGCUAACUACGUGCCAGCCGCCGCCGUAA